UAUUAAAAAUUUUAUUCAUUUCUUCUAUUCAAAACCAACGUGACAGAUAGAAUAAUCAUAUGGUUAGACGUGGUGUGCUAAGUGUACCUCAUCCCGACGUAUAAGGAUUGAUUUUUAAUUGUAAAAACGGAUGAAAUUUUUAACA
rfam:Gossypium arboreum cultivar AKA8401 contig_2632_1, whole genome shotgun sequence.